rnacentral:rRNA from 1 species
AGUGAACGCUGGCGGUAGGCCUAACACAUGCAAGUCGAACGGCAGCACAGUAAGAGCUUGCUCUUACGGGUGGCGAGUGGCGGACGGGUGAGGAAUACAUCGGAAUCUACUUUUUCGUGGGGGAUAACGGAGGGAAACUUACGCUAAUACCGCAUAUGACCUACGGGUGAAAGCAGGGGAUCUUCGGACUUUGCGCGAUUGAAUGAGCCGAUGUCGGAUUAGCUAGUUGGCGGGGUAAAGGCCCACCAAGGCGACGAUCCGUAGCUGGUCUGAGAGGAUGAUCAGCCACACUGGAACUGAGACACGGUCCAGACUCCUACGGGAGGCAGCAGUGGGGAAUAUUGGACAAUGGGCGCAAGCCUGAUCCAGCCAUACCGCGUGGGUGAAGAAGGCCUUCGGGUUGUAAAGCCCUUUUGUUGGGAAAGAAAAGCAGCAGGUUAAUACCCCGCUGUUCUGACGGUACCCAAAGAAUAAGCACCGGCUAACUUCGUG